rnacentral:lncRNA from 1 species
UUUUUUUGGGGUAAAAGUGUUUCACUUGAACAGCAAAUUAAGUACAAUAAAACUGAUUGAUAUUGAAUAUUGAAUUGCAGAAUAAAUAAACUUAAAAAGAAUUUCCAGCAUUCUUAUGGAUAUGAGACCUAAAAAGUUAUUGUUUAUAGAAUUUGUGUAUACAAUAUUGUAUUUGAUUUUUAACAUUGUUGCAUCGAAGGUUAAAACUGAAGAUA